ACUAUCCCGGCUCAAAAUAAAAUUCGCAGUUUUCAAAGAAUAAGCGUAAUUGUUCCUCUUCCACAGAGAAAGGUUUUGGCAGGAGGAAGAGCACGGAGAGGAGGAUAAAAAGAUCUGACUGCGUCUGGCCGUGCCAGGCACUCGGCCUUCCCUGGGUGGAAACCUGGCUUCAGCUACUGCUGAGAAUGUAUAGGAACAUAACCGCCUGGAAAAGAUACUCAUUGUUCUAUCAUAACUCCGCAGAAGGCAAGCGCUACUAUGGAUCUACAUCCUCAGACCCUGGACCAGGAUGGGGUGAUGCCUGUGAAGGUCAGAGGACAAUUUCAGUGCUCCAUCCUCUCCUUCCGCCACUGUGGAUCCAGGGGGCAUUGGAUUCAAGUUUUUCAGGCUUGGCCGCAAGCACCUUUACAUGUUGAGCCACAUGGUAGGUCCCUGAACCAAAGCCUUGGGGACAGUGCUGCUUUCUAAUGCGGCUCACAAAGGAAUUGCAGUGCAGCUCACCGUCUCUGUGGGACUGCCUUUCUCACUGGAGAGAGGGCGCUGAGCAUGAGGUUCUCGGAGGGACCUCUUCUCCUCUAGGGCAUGGGUGAACUCAGUCAAAUCCAAUGGAGGCAAAGAUGAGUGAAUCGUGUAGCCUCUCAGAAGACUCGAGGAGAGCGGCCAAGGCCAGUAAAGCAAACCAAAUGACAAAACAAAACGAAGCCCCCACCGGCUUCCGCCUCCGCCAACAGUGCUCUGUGGAGACCCGCACUCGUGUCUGCUUCCUGGACCCUUGUACUUGCUCUGGCAAAUUGUGGGCACCAACCCUGGGUACCCUGGUGGGCGGGGCUUGAAGAGUCUAAAGGGAGAAGCCCCCAAAGACCACACCUCUCUCUGUCUCCAACCUUGAUGGCUUGACACUUCAAACCUCCUUGGAAAACUGUCUAGAUGAAGGAGUCUAUGGCUAAAUAACACUUGAAAAAAAAUGCCUUAGUAGGCUUGCCCGUAAUCCCCACACCCUGAUGAGUUCACAAGACUGCAACCUCCCUUUGUCCACCUAUAAGAUCAUUGUCCAUCUCUAAGUUUUAAAUUACCACUGAGAAGGAUAAAAUUAUGCUGGCCCAAA